rnacentral:rRNA from 1 species
GAACGCUGACAGAAUGCUAACACAUGCAAGUCAACUUGAAUUUGGGUUUUAACUUAAGUUUGGGUGGCGGACGGGUGAGUAACGCGUAAAGAACUUGCCUCACAGCUAGGGACAACAUUUGGAAACGAAUGCUAAUACCUAAUAUUAUGAUAAUAGGGCAUCCUAUAAUUAUGAAAGCUAUAAGCGCUGUGAGAGAGCUUUGCGUCCCAUUAGCUAGUUGGAGAGGUAACUGCUCACCAAGGCGAUGAUGGGUAGCCGGCCUGAGAGGGUGAUCGGCCACAAGGGGACUGAGACACGGCCCUUACUCCUACGGGAGGCAGCAGUGGGGAAUAUUGGACAAUGGACCAAGAGUCUGAUCCAGCAAUUCUGUGUGCACGAUGAAGUUUUUCGGAAUGUAAAGUGCUUUCAGUUGGGAAGAAAGAAAUGACGGUACCAACAGAAGAAGUGACGGCUAAAUACGUGCCAGCAGCCGCGGUAAUACGUAUGUCACGAGCGUUAUCCGGAUUUAUUGGGCGUAAAGCGCGUCUAGGUGGUUAUGUAAGUCUGAUGUGAAAAUGCAGGGCUCAACUCUGUAUUGCGUUGGAAACUGUAUAACUAGAGUACUGGAGAGGUAAGCGGAACUACAAGUGUAGAGGUGAAAUUCGUAGAUAUUUGUAGGAAUGCCGAUGGGGAAGCCAGCUUACUGGACAGAUACUGACGCUGAAGCGCGAAAGCGUGGGUAGCAAACAGGAUUAGAUGCCCUGGUAGUCCACGCCGUAAACGAUGAUUACUAGGUGUUGGGGGUCGAACCUCAGCGCCCAAGCAAACGCGAUAAGU